GACGAACGCUGGCGGCGUGCUUAACACAUGCAAGUCGAACGCUGAAGCCCAGCUUGCUGGGUGGAUGAGUGGCGAACGGGUGAGUAACACGUGAGUAACCUGCCCCCUUCUUUGGGAUAACGCCCGGAAACGGGUGCUAAUACUGGAUAUUCACUGGCCUUCGCAUGGGGGUUGGUGGAAAGGUUUUUUCUGGUGGGGGAUGGGCUCGCGGCCUAUCAGCUUGUUGGUGGGGUGAUGGCCUACCAAGGCUUUGACGGGUAGCCGGCCUGAGAGGGUGACCGGUCACAUUGGGACUGAGAUACGGCCCAGACUCAUACGGGAGGCAGCAGUGGGGAAUAUUGCACAAUGGGCGAAAGCCUGAUGCAGCGACGCCGCGUGAGGGAUGACGGCCUUCGGGUUGUAAACCUCUUUCGCUCAUGGUCAAGCCGCAGCUUUGGGUUGUGGUGAGGGUAGUGGGUAAAGAAGCGCCGGCUAACUACGUG
rnacentral:rRNA from 1 species